CUCUUACUGCCAUCUUCUUGCUUUUGACUAACUCUUCUAUGAGGUCACAUGCUGUAAGUGCUGGGACUUGGUACAGUUGCCACUUAACAAAAGUAGACCUGACUGCGGCUGCCUGCUUGGCCAGUGUGCUCUCCUUGAGCCCCAGCCCGCAGCUGUGUGUGGCUAUGCGUAGAAUCUUCAUGGUGCUCUCCACCUCCUGGAUCUUCAAGAUUCUGCAUAGCACAGAAACCUGAGCUCCGGAUCCAGGACAGAAGCCUACAAAAAGAUUGAAAAAAUGGUGGACUCCAGACCUAAGGGAACAGAAUAUUUCUUGAUUUGUCUUAAAAUACUCUUCUGAUAUUAUAUAAGUCAAAUUACUGA